CAGUAUUAAGAAAUGUCAUACCAGUUAACACGAUACCUGGGGAUUUAGAUUUUGGGGUGUGUGUGCAGUCUGCUUACAGCUGAGUGAAAAACAGAGCAUGUUUUGGCUAGAGUUAGAUUCGAGCCGAAUUUAUUCGAAUUUGAGUUCAGUUCAAACAAGUUUGAAACGAGCCGAACAUACACGAACAUAAGUUCAAGCUUAAGCUGCAUAAAUUGAAGUAAAUGAACCUGACCCAAACUUGAGCUAUGGAGCUAAGCCACUUGCGAGCCACGUGAGCUCGUCUAUAUUGGAAGUAGAUAAAAGUGUUGAAAUUUCAGAUCCGGAGAAGGAAGAAAAUGAAAAUGCAACCGAGCUACUUCAAGGGAAUGACUGUGUUCUUGAAGAAUAUGAAGUCAAACUAGCUUUGGAAGAUGAAGUAAAAGAGGUUGAUGAAUAGUAGCAAACCCAAUGAAGCUGAACUUGAAUAGCUCGUCAAAUGGCGAACUCAAACUCGAGCACGAAUGUCCCAAGCUCUGGCUCAGAUCUUUAUUAGCUGGGCCUAACUCAAGCUCCGGAUGUCUUAAAUCCACCCCUAAUUUUGACCCUUUGUCUUUCUCUCUUUCUGUAUCUCUGUGACGAGGCUGUGCUGAUGAUGGUUUUAUCCAAGUCAAAAGAUCAGAGGGUGUGGGAGCUUUCUUCAUCAUGACGAGGCGGCUUCUCGGUGUUUUUGAAGUGCUCGUUGUUGCAGCCAUGGUGCCAGAGUUUCGAUCUUUUCUCUGAUAAAAGGCCAAUCUGAGCCUCUUUUAUUGAUGGCUUUUCUAAAAAGGUAACAGUGCUUAGACUCAGGCCAUUGGAAAUAGCGGAAAAGAAUUUUAUCUCUCUCAUUCUUCGUAUGAAUGUGUUCAUCAUGUUUGUGUACAAAGUGGACCUUGCUUCUAAUAUUUUAGUGACACUUGACACUAAUUACACACGUAUUAUUAAUUAUUAAUUAUUUUUAAACGGUUUCAAGCCAAUCUAAACA